rnacentral:tRNA from 1 species
GCGGGUGUCGUAUAACGGCUAUUACCGCAGGUUUCCAACCUGCUGACAGGGGUUCGACUCCCCUCACCCGCUCCA